rnacentral:lncRNA from 1 species
GGGAUAGAUAUUUUUAGAUCCAAUCUAAAGUAUGCUUAUUAGAUUAAAUCGUUAAUCUUAUAUAUUUCACUAAAAAAUUUUUAAAAAGCAUGGUUGAAAUGCCUACCGAUUUCUUUCAGUCAUAUCAGAGUGUAGGUUCCUUAUGACAUGAUUAUAUUUGCAUAUUAGAUUUGAUUUUUAUUAUUUAGAUUAAAUCUAAAUAAUUUUUAUGUUCAGAUCUGAUAUAUGAUAUCUUGGAUCUGAAUUUAAUUAUUAAUUGAUCGUAUAAACUACUAUA